CGCACGGGUGAGUAACACGUAUCCAACCUGCCGUCUACUCUUGGACAGCCUUCCGAAAGGAAGAUUAAUACAAGAUGGCAUCAUGAGUCCGCAUGUUCACAUGAUUAAAGGUAUUCCGGUAGACGAUGGGGAUGCGUUCCAUUAGAUAGUAGGCGGGGUAACGGCCCACCUAGUCUUCGAUGGAUAGGGGUUCUGAGAGGAAGGUCCCCCACAUUGGAACUGAGACACGGUCCAA
rnacentral:rRNA from 1 species